CUGAACCAGCCAAGUAGCGUGAAGGAAGACUGCCCUAUGGGUUGUAAACUUCUUUUAUACGGGAAUAAAGUCAUCCCCGUGUGGGUGUUUGUAUGUACCGUAUGAAUAAGGAUCGGCUAACUCCGUGCCAGCAGCCGCGGUAAUCCGGAGGAUCCGAGCGUUUUCCGGAUUUAUUGGGUUUAAAGGGAGCGUAGGCGGGCUUCUAAGUCAGUUGUGAAAGUUUGCGG
rnacentral:rRNA from 1 species